rnacentral:rRNA from 1 species
UACAGAGGUGGCGAGCGUUGUUCGGAUUUAUUGGGCGUAAAGGGUCCGCAGGCGGUCCGGAAAGUCGGAUGUGAAAUCCCACAGCUUAACUGUGGAACUGCAUUCGAAACUCCCGGACUUGAGUGUGAGAGGGGUAAAGGGAAUUCCCGGUGUAAGGGUGAAAUCUGCAGAUAUCGGGAAGAACACCAGUCGCGAAGGCGCUUUACUGGCUCACUACUGACGCUCAGGGACGAAAGCUAGGGGAG